rnacentral:rRNA from 1 species
UAGGGAAUCUUCGGCAAUGGGGGCAACCCUGACCGAGCAACGCCGCGUGAGUGAAGAAGGUUUUCGGAUCGUAAAGCUCUGUUGUAAGAGAAGAACGUGUGUGAGAGUGGAAAGUUCACACAGUGACGGUAACUUACCAGAAAGGGACGGCUAACUACGUGCCAGCAGCCGCGGUAAUACGUAGGUCCCGAGCGUUGUCCGGAUUUAUUGGGCGUAAAGCGAGCGCAGGCGGUUUAAUAAGUCUGAAGUUAAAGGCAGUGGCUUAACCAUUGUUAGCUUUGGAAACUGUUAAACUUGAGUGCAGAAGGGGAGAGUGGAAUUCCAUGUGUAGCGGUGAAAUGCGUAGAUAUAUGGAGGAACACCGGUGGCGAAAGCGGCUCUCUGGUCUGUAACUGACGCUGAGGCUCGAAAGCGUGGGGAGCAAACAGG